ACGGGUGAGUAAUACAUCGGAACGUAUCCUGGAGUGGGGGAUAGCCCGGCGAAAGCCGGAUUAAUACCGCAUACGCUCUGAGGAGGAAAGCGGGGGACCUUCGGGCCUCGCGCUCAAGGGGCGGCCGAUGGCGGAUUAGGUAGUUGGUGGGGUAAAGGCCUACCAAGCCGACGAUCCGUAGCUGGUCUGAGAGGACGACCAGCCACACUGGGACUGAGACACGGCCCAGACUCCUACGGGAGGCAGCAGUGGGGAAUUUUGGACAAUGGGGGCAACCCUGAUCCAGCAAUGCCGCGUGUGUGAAGAAGGCCUUCGGGUUGUAAAGCACUUUUGUCCGGAAAGAAAUCAUCGGGGCCAAUACCCCUGGUGGAUGACGGUACCGGAAGAAUAAGCACCGGCUAACUACGUGCCAGCAGCCGCGGUAAUACGUAGGGUGCGAGCGUUAAUCGGAAUUGCUGGGCGUAAAGCGUGCGCAGGCGGUGCUGUAAGACCGAUGUGAAAUCCCCGGGCUUAACCUGGGAACUGCAUUGGUGACUGCAGCGCUGGAGUAUGGCAGAGGGGGGGUGGAAUUCCACGU
rnacentral:rRNA from 1 species